UCCCAGGCAACUGACCUUAUGAAAUGACAACAGCAAAGGCAUACAACGAUGUAACACAACCACAUGAGGACAGGGAGGGUGGAGAACCUUGGCUACCCCACUGCCCUCAAAAGCUCAGGCGGCGAUGGCUUGGAAGAGGACCUUCUUAGUGGCAGCCCCUAAGUUUGGCAACUCCCUCCUCACAGAGGUGUGCAUGGCAUCUUCAUUAUACCGUUUUCUGUGAAUGCAGAAGACACACCUCUUUGCCCUGGCUUUUGACUCCAUGAGGUAUAUAUUUUUAGGACCCACCGUAAUUUGUGAGCGUAAGUUGAUUUAAAUGUUUUUAACAUUGUGCUUUAAGUGCUGUAAUCCACCCUGAGACCUUUUCGUUGUUUAGUCGUUUAGUCGUGUCCGACUCUUCAUGACCCCAUGGACCAGAGCACGCCAGGCACUCCUGUCUUCCACUGCCUCCUGCAGUUUGGUCAGACUCAUGUUUGUAGCUUUGAGAACACUGUCCAACCAUCUCGUCCUCUGUCGUCCCCUUCUCCUUGUGGCCUCCAUCUUUCUCAGCAUCAGGGUCUUUUCCAGGGAGUCUUCUCUUCUCAUGAGGUGGCCAAAGUAUUGGAGCCUCAGCUUCAGGAUCUGUCCUUCCAGUGAGCACUCAGGGCUGAUUUCCUUCAGAAUGGAGAGGUUUGAUCUUCUUGCAGUCCAUGGGACUCUCAAGAGUCUCCUCCAACACCAUAAUUCAAAAGCAUCAAUUCUUUGGCGACCUUAGGGUAAUGAAUUAAAUCCUUGGCAUCAUCUGGCACAGCUGUAUCCAUGUAUGGCAGCUGGGGGAUACAAACACAAGACUUUCCCCAGUGUCUCCAUAUGCGUUGCCCCAUGGUCUCAGGGCAGCCCUACAUAGAGCACAGGGCAGCGAUCUAUCCUGGAGAUUACCAGCACAUGAAAGACAGAGGACAGACAAUCCUGGUCCAAACUGAUAAAAGGCACUCCAAGUGAUAAAUAUGGAUUCAUGAAUCUGCCCAGACUAUGGACCUGCUUCCAGGGGGAGUACAGCCCCAUCCAAGCAGGUAAUGGAGGAAUGAUCUGGACUCAGGCUUAUUUGUGAUGGCUAAUAAGGAAAGGAACUAAGCGCAGCAUAUUUUGACUGUGGUGUCUUUGGGAUAUGUGGAGGGGCUCACGCCAUUAACAUCCCAGCAGGUCUUGGUUCUCCAUCACGUUUCCAGAGAAGCCACCAAGUCUCAGCUUUGGAUUCAGCAAAGAGCAGACAUGCCUCUCUUUGUCUCCAGCUUUAGCCUCCCCCCCCGGCUAUAUAUAGGUCAUCUACCUCGGAUGCAUCCAGGCGGCUGAUGGGUGUGAGGAAAAUCCCUGUCCGUUAUUCCUGGAGAACACCAUCACUUAGUAGCUAUUGCAACCUAGCUCAUUCUGGUGUGAGCACUUAACUGAUCAGCCAAAGCCAUUACCUUAACAAAUGAACUGAUUUGGCAGGUUUCCCUUUCUAGAUUCUGCCCAACAUAUACGAGAUCACAGGUUUGGAAGGGGGCACACAGGUAUCAUCUAGACUGAUCCCCUCGCCAAAAAAACCACCCCUCAUAACAUUACUUAAUCAGAGAGCAAUUCCCAUGGAAUUUGGUGGGGUUUACUUCCAAGUAAUAUAAGUCAUUGUUGCAUGAACCCACUAUAGAUGUUGUGACAGCAAGCCUUCUGAACCACAGCAAGACACUUAAGUGCUAAGUAUUAAUAAAACUACAAUGUUUAAGUGUCUACUAUUUGUUGUUUUUUGCAAAGGAGGAGAAUGGAGAGACACUCAGAAUAGAUGGAAGCUACACAACUUUUCUCCAAGCAGUGAAGAAACUGUGACGAUAGGGACUCCUGAACCAAGGUAAGACAUGUUUCAGUUUAGUUAGCUGUUAGCUUAGUACAACUUCAGUGCUUAAUGUCUCUCGCGUAUUGUUGCAAGAGAACGCCAGAAAAACUUGGCCACACCUCCAUGACCCCCUUGGCCACUAAGCAGCCCCACCAGGUCCAGUGUCCGUGAGCAACCACUGAGGAAACCUAAAUGUUUGGUUUCCUGAAUCCAUUGUGAAGCACCCGCAUCCGGAAAUUAUUUGCACCAAGCCCUGCUUUGUAAUUUCUAGUGAAGCAACAGGGAUGUGAUUGUCACUGGAGGGCUGUUAGAAAAAUGUCUUCACCCAUUGUAUUUCUCCCUGCAUUUUCAUUAUGCAGCAAGUAGUAAGGGAUGUUUCACAGGCUGUGACUAAUGGGCUGAAUCAAAGAGGUACCUGGACAGGUAAAGAGGCAAAGUUCAAUCUUAUGAGUGACACUAAUUGCACAACACACAUUUCAGCAAUGAGCUUCAGAUCAGAUCAGUAACUGUAAAAACUGCAGAGGCAAAAGAGGCAUGAAUCAUAGAGGCAUUGUGUCUCCACUGGGAGCCCAGUCAGCGCAGCCAGGAUACAUAUAUAUAGAAUACAUAAAUGCAUACUGUCAAGGCUGCCUCAAGUCUCAGCUCACAAAAGACCAACGCCUAUGUCUUCUUAUAUACAAAGGUGUUUAUUGCAGUUCAUUGUUUGCUUGACAUCCUAGGCGCGCAGCCUUACGUCUCUUACGCUUAGACCGCUGAAGUCCCCUCUGAAUCCGUCCCCCCCUGCACCAAUUUAAGAGGCUUGCGCUGCUCCACCUCUUUCUCUCCUUCCUUUUCCGCAGGGUCCUUCUGCCCGCUGGGGUUUCGCCCCUCCUGGAUUCCUCUGACGCGGAAUCAGACUGCUCUUCCCCCUCCUGCGGGCUUUGGGACCUGGCCCCUCCUCCGGGCUCCCUGUACUUCCGCGCGCCUCUACAUUUGAACUAGGCGCGCGCCAAACCUCUAACUUUCCUUUUGACAGUUACACUACUCCCUUCACUGCUCCCCUCCCCUUCCGGAAGGGCGGCUUGCUCUGACCUCCCUCCUUUCUCUGCUCCCGGAGCUGCUUCAUCUGACACACUGGAAACUCCACCCCCUUCGCUGCACUCUGGUGGGGAGGCUGGUCCUGACGCCCAGCUGCCACUUUGGGAUCCUCCACUGGCCCCCUGCUCCUGACACGUCCCCCCUGGGGCUCCCCUGGCCUUAACCACCGGCGCCCCCUUCUGGGAAUCCUCUGAUUCGCUGGAAAGACUCAUGGAAUCUCUUGAGUCAUUGUCAUCCUCUUCCUCGCUGGCUUGGAAUUCAUCCCCAUCGCUCUCCAUCUCCUGCCUACCCUGUGCCUCUCUCCCUGAACCCCUGACACAUACAUUCAUACAUAAUUUUAUUUGUAUGCUGCCUUUCCAUACUUCAAACCGUUCUCAAGGUGGCUUACAACAUGAAAAAAUUACACAGUUACAAACAGAACAAAAGUAGCUGUAAACAAUAAAUAAAACAUAAAAAGUACAAAACCAAAUUGAACAAUUUCCACAUAAAUUACAAGUUCUGAGAAUAAAAAUACAAAAAAUAAUAAUAUCAGUAACAGCAACAAUGCCCUCCCCCAGAAACCCCUAAACAAUACCCCACCCCAAGUGGCCGUUCAGCAGCCUCAGCUUUUAUAGCUGGAGUCAGUCCAGGUCCCGCCCCCCCAAACCAGGUAGGAAAAGGCCUGCAAGACAGCAACGGCGUAGCUAGCCGCUCAGGUGCCUGGGGCAGCGCAUGCGCCCUGCACCUGGGGGCGGGGCGAGCCUGGGACGGGGUGAGCCAGGGCAGGGCGCACUGCACAAAGUCUCUCCACCACCUCCCCCGUCAGCUGUAAGGUGGCUGAGGGAGAGGCAGUGGGCAGACGCAAGCCCCACGCUGCCAUUUCAGGCAGCGCUGAGCCUGCAGGUGCCCAAGCCACCAUGUCACUCCCAGGAGAGACACGUGGCUCGGGCACAUGCAGACCCCGUGGUAAGUGCCGGCCCCUGUGGUGUGGCGCCCAGUGCCAGCCGCGUUUCAUUGCGUUUGUUGACUGAACUAAAAAGUUUUGUGAGCCCCCCCCCCAUUCUUUUAUCAACUCAUAUUUUUGACGUUUUGUCACCCCCCUCAGUGAUGACACCCAGGGUGGCCUGCACCCACCACACACCCCUUCCUACGCCACUGCAAGCCAGGGAGCAGGUCUUCCAGGACUCACGGGCAAGAUGAUCUCUGGCCACCUCCGCAGCCUCCGCUUUUGUAGGUGGAGUCAGUCAGGGCCGGGGAGCAGGUCUUCCAGGACUCACAGGCAAUAUGAUCUCUGGCCACCUCCGCAGCCUCCGCUUUUGUAGGUGGAGUCAGUCAUGGCCGGGGAGCAGGUCUUCCAGGACUCACAGGCAAUAUGAUCUCUGGCCACCUCCGCAGCCUCCGCUUUUGUAGGUGGAGUCAGUCAGGGCCGGGGAGCAGGUCUUCCAGGACUCACAGGCAAGAUGAUCUCUGGCCACCUCCGCAGCCUCUGCUUUUGUAGGUGGAGUCAGUCAGGGCCAGGGAGCAGGUCUUCCAGGACUCACAGGCAAGAUGAUCUCUGGCCACCUCCACAGCCUCCGCUUUUGUAGGUGGAGUCAGUCAGGGCCGGGGAGCAGGUCUUCCAGGACUCACAGGCAAUAUGAUCUCUGGCCACCUCCGCAGCCUCCGCUUUUGUAGGUGGAGUCAGUCAUGGCCGGGGAGCAGGUCUUCCAGGACUCACAGGCAAUAUGAUCUCUGGCCACCUCCGCAGCCUCCGCUUUUGUAGGUGGAGUCAGUCAGGGCCGGGGAGCAGGUCUUCCAGGACUCACAGGCAAUAUGAUCUCUGGCCACCUCCGCAGCCUCCGCUUUUGUAGGUGGAGUCAAUCAGGGCCAGGGAGCAGGUCUUCCAGGACUCACGGGCAAGAUGAUCUCUGGCCACCUCCGCAGCCUCCGCCUUUGUAGGUGGAGUCAGUCAGGGCCGGGGAGCAGGUCUUCCAGGACUCACGGGCAAGGCUAGCGGAGACAGGAGAAAGUCAGGUCACCAAAGACAGCCCAGAUUAAGAUCCUAACAAAAUGCACUAAGCCUCAGCCUGUUCUGCCACCCAUCUCCACUAGCUGAUGUCUGGAAGACAAUCAACAGCACCGUCUUGAAGACCCUGAUUAGGUUUGCCAGGUCUCCUGAGUGUCUAUGUCAGGCUUCCUCAACCUCGGCCCUCCAGAUGUUUUUGGCUUACAACUCCCAUGAUCCCUAGCUAGCAGGACCAGUGGUCAGGGAUGAUGGGAAUUGUAGUCUCAAAACAUCUGGAGGGCCAAGGUUGAGGAAGCCUGGUCUAUGUCAUGGGCCAGAUAAUUGGCUUUACCUGCUGAGCAGCAGCCUGAAGGAGCAGAAGGCAGAGUGACUCCACCUGCUGCUGAUCAGCCAUAUUGCUCCUUAUGAGAACCAGCUGGCUUCAGCUCUCUUAAGCAGGGUUUCCAGCCUCAGUCAGUUGCUGGAAACAACAUUUGUCAUUCCUGGCUACUUCUUGCUUCUCUUGACCUUGGACUCCCAGCUUUCUCGACUCUCAGACCGUCUGACAGCGUAAACUGAGAUACUCCUGACUUUAGGACUGGACUGAACCUUGCAUAUGGACUCUGCCUCCAGGCAAGUUGCCCCCUGAGACUUGACUGAGACCUUCUGCCCCUGAGCUCUGCCAUGGCUGGGCAGCAUGGGACUCCUAUAGCAGUCUACUCCUGAGUCACGGGUGGCAUUGCUUGAAGGGCAGCGCCUGUUGAAGCAGGAAAUUGAUCCUAGUUUUUUUUAAAAAAACAGAGGUGAUGUAAGAUGCCCUCUCUCCCAAUUCUUACAGGUUUUCAAAAUGUCUUUUAUAAUGCUUACAUCAAUGUCCACUUGCUAUUCUCUCACUCCCACAGAAAAAGAGGUGUUUGCAGUGGGGAGAAAAUGCAAUAUGCUAAUCAUGCUGAGCUGUGCCUCUCUAUGCAAUGCCAUACCCGCUCCAUCUCAUCUCCAGCUCCCUGAUAUUUAGACUUGAUUUACACUGUGAUGUCCAAUUCCCGAUGUUCUAUGUAACUUUGGCUCCUCCAUAUGCUGCCUCGCUCUCCAUACGUGCCCAGACCCAUACUGUGCAGACCGAAUGGGGCAGCAAGUUGUCUCUUGCUCUGUAAAGCAUUAUACUGGUAAAGGUAACGGUAAAGGUACCCCUGCCCGUUCGGGCCAGUCUUGCCAGACUCUAGGGUUGUGCGCUCAUCUCACUCUAUAGGCCGGGAGCCAGCGCUGUCCGCAGACACUUCCGGGUCACGUGGCCAGCGUGACAAGCUGCAUCUGGCAGCACACGGAACGCCGUUUACCUUCCCGCUGGUAAGCGGUCCCUAUUUAUCUACUUGCACCCGGAGGUGCUUUCAAACUGCUAGGUUGGCAGGCGCUGGGACCGAACGACGGGAGCGCACCCCGCAGCGGGGAUUUGAACCGCCAACCAUGCGAUCGGCAAGUCCUAGGUGCUGAGGUUUUACUCACAGCGCCGCCCGUGUCCCUAUACUGGUAGCCCUGUAUAAAAUAGGGGAGGAGAACCUGGUCCUCUCCAAAAGUUGUAGGGCUUCAGGGAUGAUGGGAGAUGUAGUCCAAGCACAUCUAGGGAGGGCCACAGGCUCCCCCCCCAUCACUGAUACAAAAUUAUUAUUAUAUACCACUGGAAACCGGCUCUUUUUGCAUUAAAUAUUCCUUGAUGUAUAUCUGCUUCAUCAUACUCAUUUCUUCAUCUUUUAGAUUUGACUCUUAAGCUACGGAUCUUGCUAUGAACUGGCUUUGAACAGAAGGGUGCUUCGCUAGUGGCAAUUCAGGAAGCAAAAUAAAAAGGUAAAGGGACCCCUGACUGUUAGGUCCAGUCGUGAAUGACUCUGGGGUUUCAGCGCACAUCUCGCUCUAUAGGCCGAGGGAGCCUACAUUUGUCCACAUACAGCUUCUGGGUCAUGUGGCCAGCAUGACUAAGCCGCUACUGGUGAAUCAGAGCAGUGCACGGAAACACAGUUUACCUUCCCGCUGGAGUGGUACCUAUUUAUCUACUUGCACUUUGACGUGCUUUCGAACUGCUUGGUUGGCAGGAGCUGGGACCGAGCAACAGGAGCUCACCCUGUCACGGGGAUUCGAACCGCCGACCUUCUGAUCGGCAAACCCUAGGCUCUGUGGUUUAGACCACAGCGCCACCCUGAGAGGAAGCAAAAUAAUGGGCACAAGACAUUGGACAUAAUAUUAUGUUUGCUGACUGGGAACAGUUGUGGACCACAGGUAUGACAUUUACGGCAUGUAAUGCCUUAAGAGAAAAUAUUAUGAAAAUGAUAUACAGGUGGUACAUAACCCCAGUCAAGCUUGCAAAAAUCUAUCAUGUGCCUGACAAUAAAUGUUGGAAAUGUAAAGAAACUGAAGGUACAUUUUUUCACCUUUGGUGGACGUGCCCAAGGAUUAAGGCUUUCUGGGAGAUGAUUUAUAAUGAACUAAAAAGGGUAUUUAAAUAUACCUUCUUGAAGAAACCAGAGGCCUUUCUCCUGGGCAUAGUCGGCCAAUCGGUGUUAAAAAGGGACAGAACUUUCUUUAUGUAUGCCACAACAGCAGCAAGAAUACUUAUUGCAAAGCAUUGGAAGACACAAGAUUUACCCACACUGGAGGAAUGGCAGAUGAAAUUGAUGGACUAUAUGGAAUUGGCGGAAAUGACUGGCAGAAUCCGUGACCAGGGAGAAGAGUCGGUGGAAGAAGAUUGGAAGAAAUUUAAAGACUAUUUACAGAAAUAUUGUAAAAUUAAUGAAUGUUAGAAUGAUGUUGGAUUGAAGUUAAGUGGUUUCUAGCUGUACAGGUACAAAAGAAUAUGGAAAAAUUGGUUUUUAAUAUGUAAAAAUCUAACGUUGCAAUAUAUCAGGACUAAGGAUUAGGAUUAAAAAGGAGGGAAAGGAAUCGGUGGAUUAACAAAUUGAAUUGGAAUACAAAAGAGGGAGGUAUGAGGAGGUCUGGGAAACAAGUAAAUGUAAAAGAAGUGAUGAAAAGAUGGAAUUGUUUUUAACUGUUUUUUCUUUUUUCUACUUUGUAUUUUUCUUUUUUAUUGUUAAUCUUUUUAUUAAUGUGAUUUUUCUUCUUUUGAAACUUUAAUAAAUAUUAUUUUUUUAAAAAAAAAAAAGAGAGGAAGCAAAAUAGUCACACACAAAGCCCCACCCCCAAAAAACCCCCAACCCUUGUCUGAGAAUGUGGCAGACUAGAGAAGUUGAAAAAAGGGUCAACCUUUAGCAAAAAUCUAUUUUAUGUCUUCUGUCAUGCUUCAAAGGUAUGCUGGCUAUUCCUGUCUGCUGUUCUCAGCAGUCCUGGAAGAUUCCUGCACUUAAAACCAAUUCCUUUGUCAGAAAUGGGUGGUUGUUUUUUGAAAGGCAUGUUUUCGCCAGUUAUGAAACACCCAUAACAUUCUAUGUACUUCUGGUUUGCACUCAGGAGAAUCACUCAGUCCAGCAGAGCAGACACUUUGGCUCCAUCUCAAAGGUUCAUGCAAGGAAUUAGCAGCCACCCAUCUCCCAAGUUGAGCUUCAGAGGGAGAACUCGCUCCCUGUGUGAUUACUAGCAGAGAUGGGCCACAUUCACCUAGAAUCUUCAGGCAGGGGUUCAGCGAGAGCUGAAAGUUGCCGCCCUCUUUUUUUCAGAGCAGCUGCAAUUAUGUCAUUGAUGUGACAAGACACCUUUCAGAUUUUAUUACAAUAGCUUCUCAGAGAAUGUGAAAAAGAAUCAGAGUCUGGAUAUUUCUUUCCUUUGGUGGGGUUCCUACUUCACGGCAGCGGUUUAAAUGGUAAUCAUUUGCGAGAAUUGUCUGCAUUUCUGAUUAAAGGCUAAAGAGUAUGCUCCAGUUGACUGAAGAUCUUUGGUUAAAACCUGGUGUGUUUUACACACUGAAUCUACGCAGUCUGAAGUAAGCACCUACAAUGGUUAGAAUUGGUUGUAGGGUUGUUUUUUACAAGAAAGAGUCAGCAUUUGCAUGUUCCAGCACAGAAACCUCCCCCCUAACUAAAUUCACACUUGACUCAAAUUUUAGGUUUGGUUUGUGGCAGAAUUUAGGCCACAACUUUAUUGAUUACAGAAAGUGACUGGUUGCAUAGGUUUGACUAGUUCCCUGCCAUGCAGGUAGCACUGACCCAGGGCACCAGCAUAGGUCAGCCAAGGGUGAACACCUGGAUAAGCGGAAAGCCGGAAACAGGCUAUCUCCGCCACCGAAAUGUCCCCCUGGACUCAGGCAUGGGCACAACCCCCACUCAGGGGUUGACCAAACCAUCGAGUCCCUGGAUUCCUUUAAUGGAAUACCCUUCACAUAGGGAUGGCGAGAGCGUUCUCCCAUCCUUAUCACCUGAACCAGAGCUUAUCUGCAACAUUACAAGUUGUGACGAUUUGCUACGUGGCAGGCGAAACCCAAAUGGCAACAGCCAUUCAACCAAGUGGGGGAAAUUCUUGCCGUGUCCCUGUCCCCAUGACAGACGACACACGACGGCAUAGCAAGGUCAAUAGCACAAAGCCCGAAAAUUAGGGAGAGGUGGACGGGUGUUCCGAUACACAAGCCAAAAGAGGAAGCUCUGGGUCACGUGCAAGGGCUUAUACCCCAUUAGCCAGAUUGCACCCAGCUACAAGGGACCUACCAAUUGGGUGUUGUGGCUUACCAAUUGAACCCACCCACAACACAGGUCUCCCUCUUUAAGGGAGGACCCGAUUUUCCAGCACUUCUUAUACUCCUGUAUUGCAGACCAACCUUGUUACCCCUGAUAUUACAAAUGUGGGGUGGGGGGAAGCAGAAACUGGUGGAAUCUCUAGGCCAGGUAUGUCCAAAGUCUGUUCCGGGGGCCUAAUCUGGCCCGCCGGUUGGAUUCAUCUGGCGCCUGUGGCAGUUUAUUUCCUGGGGUAAAAUCCUAAAGAAACCUCAACAACCUCAACCCUAAAAAAAGGUCAACAACUUUGGUUAGCCCUUUGAAAGCUGAAACUCCACAUGGUAACCCGCUCAGGGAAGCCAUUCCUCUCUGUUUAAAUAGGCAGGCCUUGGUUGACCCAAGACAUUUUGCUACCGAGAAAGAACAGUGGUACAGUGGUGCCCCGCAAGACGAAUGCCUCGCAAGACGGAAAACCCGCUAGACGAAAGGGUUUUCUGUUUUGGAGGUGCUUCGCAAAACGAAUUUCCUAUGUGCUUGCUUCGCAAGACGAAAAUGUCUUGCGAGUUCCUGCAGGGUUUUUUUCCUUUUCCCCCCCUUUUCCCCAAGCCGCUAAACCGCUUAUCAGCUGAUGGCUAAGCCGCUUAACAGCUGAUCGCUAAGCCGCUUAUCAGCUGAUCGCUAAGCCGCUUAUCAGCUGAUCCGCUAAGCCCGCUAAGCCGCUAAUACUGUAGUGCUAAUCCGCUAAACUGCUAAUGGGCUUGCUUCGCAAGACGAAAAAACCCGCAAGACGAAGAGACUCGCGGAAUGGAUUCUUUUCGUCUUGCGAGGCACCACUGUAUACAAAGCUGUCCGUCUUCCCAGAGGGAAUUGUAUAUCUGGGAGAGGAAUAGGUGGUCUCCAAACAAACUAGGAUUCUUUGGGGGACUCCAUGCCUGUUAAGCUGGUUUAAGAGUGCUUUAAAUGAUGCUCCAGUUAAAAUUCCUGCAUUGCAUGGGGUUGGACUGCAUGACCCGGCUCAGGGUCCCUUCCAACUCUACAAAUCUGAUUCUAUGAGUGCCUAUAGAUAACAGAUGAUUUUUUAAGAAUGCCUCAAAUAUGUGAGAAGAUUUAACCCUUGUGGUUGAAUGAACUUGUCUGACUAUGAUGCAUUAGCAGCUACAGUGGUGCCUCGCAAGACGAAAUUAAUUCGUUCCGCCAGUUUUGUCGUCUUGCGAUUUUUUUCGUCUUGCGAAGCACGGUGUCGGGAAAGUUUUGGAAAAGCUUCAAAAAUCACCAAAGUCUUUAAAAACCUCAAAAAAGGCUACCACACCGCGUGCUAUGAGUUGCUCCUCGAAGUCAAGUCGCAACUGUAUUAACAGUUUUAAGAAAAAGGUAACAAACUUGCAAGACGUUUCCGUCUUGCGAAGCAAGCCCAUAGGGAAAAUCGUCUUGCGAAGCAGCUCAAAAAACGAAAAACCCUUUCGUCUAGCGAGUUUUCCGUCUUGCGAGGCAUUCGUCUUGCAAGGCACCACUGUAUAUGGAAAGGGAUGUUGGAGGCAAAGCUGUGUUAAGAUGAGAAACAGAAUUUGUAGCUGUCUCCACCUAUUUCUUGGGCUGAGUUUCUACAUUUACCAUUCUUCUGACAGGCAGAAAUUUAGCAGGUGUGGAGGAUGUGAGCCAUUGAUAUUAAAUGUGCAUUGCUAACUUAGAACGAUAAAUUUCACUGGGUCUACUCUGAGUAUGAUUAGCACUGGAAAGAACCCAUUGGAAUGCAUUGCUUUGAAGUCAUUUCAUUCUGUAUCAGGUGAUUUUUAGCCACCCCAAUUCCCCCCCUCCAUGUCCCAAAUUUUGCCUGACAAAAGGUGGCAACCCUGGCUGUGUCUGAUAUUCUGCAACAAGUAUUCCGAGUGAGUAAAUGUUAUUUUUACCUUUUACAAUGUAGUUUGUGAUUGUUUUAAGGUGGAAAUGCCAGGAGAAUCCCAUCUGCCUUAAAGCAUCCUCGGUUACUUAAACUAAAAAGCUAAAACUAGCCUACCUAAGCUUCCCUUUUAAACUGCAAAGGGAUACACUCUGCUGAACUCACAAAUGUAAGGAAGGAAGGAAAGACAAUAUCUAAUAAAUCUAUCCUCUCCUAGCACCUAUUAUUAUUAUUUAUUUAAUUUCUAUACUGCCCUAUACCCGAAGGUCUCAGGGCGGUUCGCAUAAAAUAUCAAGUACAUAAAAUAUAAACAAAAACAACCCAAUUAAAAAACCCCAAAAAGAGUCAUUUUUAAAAGGGUAUAGGGAUGCAGAUCAAGUCAGGCAAAGGCCUUAUUAAAAAGGAACUAUGGCCAAACUAUCACAGGAAAGCCUUUUUUAAUAUACAUUUGUUUUGUAUUGGGGUGGCCUGUACUUCAUCCAGUAGGCCAUAGCAAUAUGUAGUAGUAAUACUGGGCUCAUGUGUUUUACCUGUAAAUAAAUGGACUAGAAAAGCAGGGAUGUUUUAAUGAAAAUGUUCUGGGACAGGGCCUGGUGUGGUGAAGCCUAGGAAGCCCCUGUGUUCAAAUGUUGCCACCGCCAUUAGGUCACUAGAUGAUCUUAGUCAAGUUCCUUAGCCUCAGCCUGCCCCCAUCUGCAAUACAAGGAUACUAUACAGGGUUACUGUAAGAAUCACAACAAAUUAUAGCACACUUUAAACACUAUAUAAAUGCUAGAUAUUAUUAACCGUGUACUUUGUAGCAGGUUACACACUUUAAUGAAUUGGUCACCAUGUGCAAACUCUGGAAUUAAUCUCUGCAAGACAAAGGAGUAGGGGUUUUACUGAAACUAUUUCGAUCAUUUUGGAAAGAGAUGAGGGAAUCAGCAGUGUUGUGCAGUAGGCACAGCUGUUCCUUGUGGUUGAGUCUUGUUUCGAUAAACCCAAGAGGGUUACCAUUUUUAUGCCACCUAUCUGUGUCUCUACAUUAAUCAAUCUGGCAAAACUUAACCACCUCAUUAGAAUUAUUAAUAGAGAAAAGAGCCAUCAAGUUGCCGUCCAGUCAGCAUUGAAAGUAUGGAAACAUGAGCCACUCUUUUGAUUGAGCUGACUGCCAUUAGGACUGGGUUUUCAAUGACUCUGUAUUCUUGGAACACACACAGGAAGAAAACAAAACUUCCUGACUCAGCAUAGUUUUCACUCUUGAGUCACUGGCUCCCCACCAGCCGCCGCCACUACCCCUUCUGGUCACCACGGCAGCACAAUAGGAUUCUAUGUGCAACCCUACAUGAAUUUCACAGCAUUUUUGUAGACAGUCCUUUCACAUUCCUUCUGAAGGUUAAGAGGAAGUUAAAUUUCCUGAGGUCAGUGACAUGGGAAGCUGGUGUAACACUCACUGCCAUUGGGGUUGACGAUGGUUUUGCUGACAGCAAGGUUUUCUUGUUCUUGUGGAGAGACAGCUUUGUCUUGGUGUUCCACUGAAGGAUGCCUUGGUGAUCUCAACUGUCCAUUGUUUUUCCUGGGCUCUCCUUUUCUCUUCCGCCUUGUUCCGUUCCGUUUUCUUCUCUUUCGGUGACCCUGUUGCUUUCCUCCCUCCCUCUGCCCGAUACACACAUCCCUACGUUUUGGGGCUCUCAAGGUGAUCUCCUGGGCUUCAGAAAUUACCACUGCACCACUGCCUCCCAGGCUCUGGUAUAUUGCCACUUCCAAAUUAAUAAGCUCUAACCAUACAUACCUUUCCCAGUGGAUAUAUUGGCCUGAACAGGCAAGAUAAAUGCCUAGAGAAAUGCUGAACUGCAGAGAAAAGCAGGUCUGUUUUUUAUUUAUUUUUUUGCUAUGCAUAUUGAAUACCUCACUUGGAAAUCAAUUAUUUCCAUUUCUUUCCUUGGCUGAGUUCCACUCGUACCUAUUCCACUUUCUUGUUUGACUCGUAAAGAUAUUGCAGGAGGGUUGGGAGGGCCAGGAUUUGUAACGGGAGAACAGGACUUCCCCCCCUGUUCACCUACACUUUUCUGAAAAUGCCCCCAACCUUGAUCAUAUUAACCCACUUUUCCUUCCAAUAACUGGAAGGAAGCCAGUUAUUGGCAAGCUGUUGUUGUUUAGUCAUUUAGUCGUGUCCGACUCUUCGUGACUCCAUGGACCAGAGCACGCCAGAUACUCCUGUCUUCCACUGCCUCCCACAGUUUGGUCAAACUCAUGCUGAUAGCUUUGAGAACACUAUCCAACCAUCUCGUCCUCUGUCGUCCCCUUCUCCUUGUGCCCUCCAUCUUUCCCAGCAUCAGGGUCUUUUCCAGGGAGUCUUCUCUUCUCAUGAGGUGGCCAAAGUAUUGGAGCCUCAGCUUCAGGAUCUGUCCUUCCAGUGAGCACUCAUGUCCUUCCAGUGAGCACUCAUAUUGGCAAACAGAUUUAGCCAUAUGUGUGGCUCCAGUCAGGUUGCUUCAGCGACAUGUAUCUUCCUGCAAUGCAUGUUUUUCGCCAUGCCUGGCUGGGGCAGAGGUGGAGGGACAUCAGCAAACAUACAUUGCUAGUUGUCACUCUAUGGUACUUACUUUGGCAUCCUACGGUCUCUGGAGAUAAUGGAGAAGUGAACCUUUGGAGGUGAAGUCAAACUGUGGGAAUGUUGCAGUGCGCUCCCAGCACUGGUUUUUGAAACUUCAUUUCAAACUUCAUGUUAGCCACAAUCCAUACUGACCCUGUAGUUUCUUGACAAAAACAUUGUUGGAUGUGUUCUUCCCUUGAACCAUUUUCGGUCCAACUAGAAAGCUGGAUGCUGAGCAAGCGGUAAUGCGAACAUUUGAGGCAGCCACCGUGCAUGCGCAGAUAAGUGUGCGUGUUCAGACGACAGCUUGAAAUGCAUCAGGGGGAAAUGGCCUUGUGUUUUAAGCAGUGGCGGAGGAGCAGCGAGCGUUGGCAGCCAGUGGUGAUGUGGGCAUGGACAGCAUGGCAGGGGUGCUUGUUCUGUCCCCCUUCUUCCCUGGGUCAGCUGGCCAGGCACCCUCGCCAGCACUCAGGCUGUCCCUGCAAAAGUUUGGGGGUCAGCGCCCCAUGAGGCCCUAUGUCCCCACCACAGGAGGGCCCUGCCUCCACUGGCUCACCUUCCCCUGCGCUGCUGCCGGGCUGCUCUGUGCCAGCAGGAGAAGGAGAGAUGUGGAAGAGUGAGGAAGGGAGGGAGCUGGGAAGGCAGACAGGAGGGAGUGAAAGAGAAAACACUGAGGGCAAUGUACCUCAGAAGAACAUUAUUGAGGAGGGCACACAGGACCCCUGUCCCCUAGAGUGGAUUCCUGUGCCAGGAUAAUACAAUGUCCUCCUUCCUUCGCAGGACCAUGGUUUGGGAAAGGCUCCGGCCAAGCAGCAGCCCAGCGGCGCCAUGGGGAAACCCCAAAUGUACAGGUAUGCUGGGACCUUCUGUGUGAAGUGUUUCACGGUCACCUUGCCAGCUGGAGGAAGAAGGCCUGGUUUAGAUGUUCCUAUAGUUUUAUGGGAAGUGUUUCUCUGUGGUCCACCUGGGUAGGACAAGGGGUGCGAUUCUCUCCCAUGCCAAUACCAUAUCCCAAGGCUGGGCCAGGGCAGUUUUAGGAUGGCACGACCGGUGCGCUCACACUGGGCACCGCGCUGCAGAGAGUGCCAAAACAAUGCUGAAAAAGAAGAGGGAGGGGUGCCGAAUUGUAGGGUCAUACAGGCAGGGUCUUAGCUAGGCGGCUCACCCUGCCCCCGGCUGCAGCACGCCCCCCCCCCCCCGGCACCCGAACAGCUAGGUAAGCCGCUGGUUUUAAGCUGCUAAUGUGAACAUGCCCCAUGUUUCCUACAUUGCAAACUCAUGACUGAAGCAAAUGUCAACAUGCUUUAGAUCUCGUCUUACUAUUAUGAGCUUAUUUUUGUGCCACCUAUCAUAGUUACUGAUUUCUUUUUCAAAGUCUAGCAAAGGCCACAUUUUUCUGCUACAUACAAAUAGGUAGAUGCUGGAAAAAUGGUUUUCCUAGAUGUUCUUCCUUCAUCCCUGUUUAUAUAUGUGGCAGUGUUUGUGUCACUAAUGUAGCGUUCAUCUAUCUGUCAAGUGUGCACCGAAUCCUAUUCUUGCAGGUAUCAGCUCCCUAAUUUAAUGGCAUGAGAUCAUGGAUUAAUUUAGAGUACUUAGAUCCAGUAUUUCUUUGGUAAACUCAGGAGAUAAAGAUAGACUGAAUGAAAAGUUAGUUGUGGAACAUUCUGAGGUGAAAAUCCAGCAGUUUAUGUGGGUGAACCAAUGGGAGUAGGCCCCACCUUGUGAUAUUUUUGAGGAGGAAAUCUAGUAACAUGUAGGAGCGGAGAGUAAGGUCUCAUCCACACUUGCCAUUUGCCAUGAGCUUUCUACAGGUCUGUGCAUUCCCGGGCCAUUACUUUUUCUUUCUGUUUUGCCCCCUUGCUUUGCCAGGAAAACCCAGAAUUGGAACAAGAGUUUUCAUGGGGAAUGGGAGGGGGGCCACUUGGACACGGACCAGAAAAGCACAGAGGAAAACUAGUGUGGACGAGCCCUAAGAAACCUGAAGGGAUUUUGAUAGUUUUGCUAAUCUUGGUUUUAAAUCUUGGGCUGGUGAAGGAGAAGUGAAAUUCUGUGCUUUGAUUUCACGCAUUCUCAUUAAUCAGGUGGAUUGGGCCCUAGGCAAGUGUCCUCAUUCCAGCACCCAGUGCUAUGGACCUAUGUCCUUUGCUACUUAGCCACAUUAAUCAGGGAAAGGAAAAGCUUUAGCAGUAUCUUUCCAUGGCCAUCUAAAUGUGAAAUGACUUUUCCUUACAGUAAGGGGUGGGGUUGGGAAUGCUAACUCGAUAAAGUAAAUUGGUUAUCCCCACACUUUAUACCUGUUCGUAGUAGACUUUAAGUACUGACAUUUCAGUCAGCCAAGCAUUACGCUAAUUUUCCUGCAUCUAAUGGAGGUGCUCAAUUAACCUCCCUAAGACAGUCUUUGCUUUUGCUGUCACACUGUAAUUGAAUGAGCCAACGUGCGCUUGAAAAUGAACAAUCCGUUUUCUUGUGAAUCUGCCAGGUUUCGACAUUUAAUGCAUCAGGUGCUCAACAUCCCUUCCUCCCCGGUAAAUGCACUUUCCACCAGUUCAUCAAUAAGGCUCUGGUUCAUGGUACAAAAUGACUGUGAAGUUCUUAUUCUUCUGCUCAGUGACAAACUGUUACCUAAGGAAGCCCUGCCAGAGAGCUGAAAAUAAUUUUUUUCUGAGUGAUUGCACUCCUUCAUCCUUAGCACUGUAAUAAUGGAAUAUUACCAAGCUGCCUACAUGCUUCUGUAAUCACAGGUGUUUUGAAACCUGGAGCUCAGUGAAGUAACCAUGAUGUACUCAUUUGCUUAUUGGUGUGGCGGUAUUGUCAUGACAGCAGACACGCCCUGGGAGACUGCUUCAAAUGGCCGAUUAAACCAGGUGAGGGUAGCCAACAGGUCUUAAACCCUCGAUGAGUUAGGGACUUUCCCUGCAUGCAGACACAGGCUCCAGCAAAUUGAGCAGAAGGCAGUUUCUGCACAUGUUGUAGAGCAGGUAUGUCCAACAGGUAGAUCGUGAUCUACCGGUAGAUCGCUGGACGUCUGCGGUAGAUCAUUGGUUCCCUCCAAAGAAGCCGAACAACUGUGGCUCCCCUAAAAAAAGCUCAACAUUUUACCUCCUCCCUGAAAAAACUCAACAACUUUGACCUGAACCCCCCAAAAAGGGAUAGAUCACUGCCAGUUUUUAACUCUGAGUAGAUUGCAGUCUCUUGGGAGUUGGCCACCCCUUCUGUAGAGCAUGGGUAGGCAAACUAAGGCCCGGGGGCCGGAUCUGGCCCAAUCGCCUUCUAAAUCUGGCCUGCGGACGGUCCGGGAAUCAGCGUGUUUUUACAAGAGUAGAAUGUUUCCUUUAAUUUAAAAUGCAUCUCUGGGUUAUUUGUGGGGCAUAGGAAUUCGUUCAUCCCCCCCCCCAAAAAAAAUUGGCACCCACCUGUCUCAAAAGACAAUGGAAAAGUGUGCCUUUGAGGCUGACGUCAAAGCGUUGGAGAGUCACAGCGCCUGCUGUGGCUGUAGAAACUGAUACAGGAGAGACAUGUUUUGUUGCACCUGGGGCAGAGGAGGGUGUCAGGCUGUGCUGCUGCGGAAGCACCAGGGUGUUUCUACUCUCUCUGCCCUCCUCCCAGCUGUUAUUUCUCCUCUGGGUCACUGGCUGUAGAUGCCUGCAGUGCCUGACUAUCUGUUGCCAGGCACUGCAGUUGUCUGCAAGGGAUUCACACAUGAUGGAGUUGAUGUUCCCAGUCGUCAUGUCAUGUUUGCAGACAUCUUUGUAACUCGGACUUACAAAGUGCCUGAAGCCAGCUUCCCUGGGGAGCCUGCCAUCUUCCAUUCUGUAUACAUGACCAAGCCAUGUUCCUUAAAAGCUUUAGAAUGGAAGGUUGCUGUUGUUGUUUUUUUAAAAAAAGCCAAAAAGCCAUUUUUUGCUUUUUUUUUUUUUAAUCUGUUGCAAAUCAGAGUUCCUUAAGAGCAGAGAAUUUCAAAAAUGGGAGCAAUAGAUAGAAGUCAGGAUGGCUGCACAAGGACAUGCACAGGAAAUAGGGGGGACAAAUGUCCAAGGGUGAAGAUUAGUUUACAAGAGCUGUUAAAAUUACAAAAAAGGUGGGGGCGUUUUUUAGGGUGGAAGAAAAAGGAAAUAUUAGGUCUGCUGUGUGAGAAGAUAGAGAAGUCUUAGUGGGUGACAGAAGAAUACUGUGCCUCAGGCUUCUCCCACAAGGGAAAUUAUCCUCAAAGUGACAAAAUAGCCUAAAGGAUAAAGAGAGGAAGUCACAGCUCCAGUAGAGGCAAAGAGGUUCAUCUCCUAUCACCUCCUUAGGUGAUAGUCUUGGCCUACAGCCACUAUUUUAGCAAUGCCUGCCUCAGUUACUUUCAAAUCUCUGGCGGCCGGUUGAGAGGGUUGUGGCUAGGACCUCGGGGUGGAAGAGGAAUCGGGUUUAAAACAGAUUUAAAUACGGAAUAUGGUGGCUCCAAUAUGAUCAAGCUUUGCUCACAUCAUAUCACUCUUUGCAGCGAGUUUGCACUUUCAUCUGAGCCACUUGUGCGUUGCUGCUCAUUGUUGUUGUUUUGAAAGCCACGCCAAUUAUACACAAAAUUAUGCACACCCACACCCACAAAUCAAAUGCAUGUAUAAUACAUCUGUGUCAAACCUGAUGCUGUUUCUGUAGCAUAAUUUAGUUAUCAUACUAGUAUUUUUAUACAGUAAUAUGCACUGUUGUUGUAUGUAUCUGUUUAGGGAACAUGGAGUAAAUAACAUGUACAUAAUAUGUCUGUGAUGAUGCAUAUAAUAUGUAGGAAUUGUCUGUAUUUUUAGCAGAGCUGGUGGGAGGAAAUAACUUUUGUGCAGAUCAAGAAGCAAGACGGGAAUUAGGAAUACUGUAUUUUUCGCUCUAUAAGAUGCACUUUUCCCCUCCUCAAAAGUAAGGUGAAAUGUAUGUGCGUCUUAUGGAGCGAGUGCAGGCUGCGCAGCUUUCGCUGAAGCCAGGAGAGCAAGAGGGAUUGAUCCCUCUUGCUCUCCUGGCUUCAGGGAUAGCCCCCCGUAGCCUCCUGAGUGCAGCGGGAGCGCUUCUGGUGUGCUAAGGAGGCUUCGCUUCGCUGGAGAGCCACUGCGCAGCUUUCCCUCUCUGCGCAGCACCCCUUCAGCAAAGCAGGAGGAGAAACAGAGCCCCUUCCACUUUGCUGGAGAGGCACUGCGCAGAGAGGGAGAGAAUAUUUUUUUCUUGUUCUCCUCCUCUAAAACUGGGUGCGUCUUAUGGUCGGGUGCAUCUUAUAGAGUGAAAAAUACGGUGAUUUGUGAGGAUUAGUUGGGUGGUGAGAUUCUCAGAAGAGUCUAUCCCUACUUGAGAUUCUUAAUCUCGGUGUUAUGGGUUCAAGCCCCACCUUGGGCAAAAUAUUCCUGCAUUUCACGGGGCUGGACUAGAUGACCCUUGUGGCCCCUUCCAGCUCUACAACUCUGUAAUUCUACUAGGGACACUCUUUUGUGCCUUCCAGAUAUAUCAGAUUGCUGCCAACGCACAAAGAACAGUAUGUUGUUGAUUUUCUGCACUCCAGCCUCUCCGGUUUUGAUUAACAUGAGUGUUGCUAUUUUUUCAUUUUAUGGAUUUAACCUAAUGACACACAGAUAUUGACCAAAAAUUGUUGUUGUUUCUAGCUGCUGAAUUUUUGGGAGGUCAGGAUAAUAAUUAUUUUAAUAAUAUGAUUUUUGCUCCUUCAGCAGCAGCAGUAUUUAUGAAACCAUAUUUCUUGUUGCUGCAGUGAUUUCCUUACAGCUCAUCUCCUUUUUGCUCUCCUAAGCAUAUUUAAGGUGAAUAGAUUAUGCCUUUGUCAAAACGGAUCAUUCUUUUUCACUUGUCUUUCGCAGCACAUUGCUACAAAACGGGAAGAAAACUUCUUCCAACUCAGGUGACAGGUAGAAAUCGGAUAUAGGCAGUGGUUUGUGGUUGAAGUCAAUCAGGUGGGGUUCUUGCAUUAGAGAUGCCAAGGCUCUUAGAAGAGGUAUAAUUCAACGGUUGACUUUUCCACUGUAAACAGUCUUAUAUUAUAGCUCCGUGGGAGAGCAUAUGCUUUGUAUAUUUGAGCGUGCAAAAUAAAAGAACAUGAAGGCAAUGAAGAAUGAAGGCAAUUUUAGAAAGUCAAAACACACGUUGCUACCAUUAUUUUAAGUGUAUGAGAUGACUUUAAGGCAGGCAUACAAAUUCAGCUCAAAGGCUUAACAGAAUAAAAAUGUGCUGUGUGUAAUGGGGGUUGCCAACCUGGCACUCGUGGGUACCAUUGGGGCUACUGGCCAGGGGCCCUAAUGUCUGAGCUUUCAUUUGCAUGUUCAGACCCAGAAACUUCCCCCCUAAAUAAAUACACACUUGACUCAAAAUGUUGGUUUUGGUUUUUGGCGGAAUUUAGGCCACAAAUUUAUUGAUUACAGAAAGUGACUGGUUGCAUAGGCUCUGGUGAGAAUAGCUCUCUGCCAUGCAGGUAGCGCUGACCCAGGGUUCCAGCAUAGGUCAGCCAAGGGUGAACACCUGGAUAAGCGGAAAGCCGGGAACGGGCUAACUCCACCACCCAAAUGUCCCCCUGGACUUAGGCAUGGGCACAACCCCCUCUCAGGGGUUGACCAAACCAUCAAGUCCCUGGAUUCCUUUAACGGAAUAUCCUUCACAUAGGGAUGGCGAGAGUGUUCUCCCAUCCCUAUCACCUGAACCAGAGCCUAUCCGCAACCUUACAAGUUGUGACGAUUUGCUACGCGGCAGGCAAAGCCCAAAUGGCACCAGCCAACCAGCCAAGGGGGAAAAUUCCUGCCGUGCCCCAGUCCCAACGACAGUCAACACAUGACGGCAUAGCAAGGUCAAGCGCAAAGCCCUAAAAGUAGGGAGAGGUGGGCAGGUGUUCCAAAUGCACGCACCGAAAGAGGAAGCUCUGGGUCAUGUGCCUGGGCAUAAAUAGGUCCCGCGAACCGUUUGGACUGCAUCCCAUUGGCCAGAUUGCACCCAGCUACGAGGGACCUACCAGUCGGGUGUUGUGGCUGACCAAUCGUACCCACCCACAACACAGGGUGUCGGUUGUCCAGGUCUCACCACAAUACGUGCCCUCUUUAAGGGAGGACCUCAGUCUUCUCUGAUAAAGAAAACAAUGCCCGACCUGAAGAAUUUGGAGCAAAUGAUUCAGCAGAGGAAACACAGCCCAGAAUAACUAAGGAGAUAGUACAAGAAUACUUGGCUAGUUUAGAUGUAUUCAAGUCUCCAGGGCCAGAUGAACUGCAUCCAAGAGUAUUAAAAGAACUGGCAGAUGUGAUCUCAGAACCACUGGCAGUCAUCUUUGAGAAUUCCUGGAGAACAGGCGAAGUCCCGGCAGACUGGAGGAGGGCAAAUGUUGUCCCUAUUUUCAAAAAGGGGAAAAGAGAGGACCCAAAUAAUUACCGCCCAGUCAGUCUGACAUCAAUACCAGGGAAGAUUCUGGAGCAGAUCAUUAAGCAAACAGUCUGUGAGCACCUAGAAAGGAAUGCUGUGAUCACCAAUAGUCAGCAUGGAUUUCUGAAAAAUAAGUCAUGUCAGACUAACCUGAUCUCGUUUUUUGACAGAAUUACAAGCCUGGUAGAUGAUGUAGAACGCUGUGGAUGUAGCCUACCUUGAUUUCAGCAAGGCAUUUGACAAGGUGCCCCAUGAUAUUCUUGUAAAGAAGCUGGUAAAAUGUGGUCUUGACUAUGCUACCACUCAGUGGAUUUGUAACUGGCUGACUGACCGAACCCAAAGGGUGCUCAUCAAUGGUUCCUCUUCAUCCUGGAGAAGAGUGACUAGUGGGGUGCCACAGGGUUCUGUCUUGGGCCCGGUCUUAUUCAACAUCUUUAUCAACGACUUGGAUGAUGGACUCAAGGGCAUCCUGAUCAAAUUUGCAGAUGACACCAAACUGGGAGGGGUGGCUAACACCCCAGAGGACAGGAUCACACUUCAAAACGACCUUGACAGAUUAGAGAACUGGGCCAAAACAAACAAGAUGAAUUUUAACAGGGAGAAAUGUAAAGUAUUGCACUUGGGCAAAAAAAAUGAGAGGCACAAAUACAAGAUGGGGGACACCUGGCUUGAGAGCAGGACAUGUGAAAAGGAUCUAGGAGUCUUGGUUGACCACAAACUUGACAUGAGCCAACAGUGUGACGCGGCAGCUAAAAAAGCCAAUGCAAUUCUGGGCCUCAUCAAUAGGAGUAUAGCAUCUAGAUCAAGGGAAGUAAUAGUGCCACUGUAUUCUGCUCUGGUCAGACCUCACCUGGAGUACUGUGUCCAGUUCUGGGCACCACAGUUCAAGAAGGACACUGACAAACUGGAACGUGUCCAGAGGAGGGCAACCAAAAUGGUCAAAGGCCUGGAAACGAUGCCUUAUGAGGAACGGCUAAGGGAGCUGGGCAUGUUUCGCCUGGAGAAGAGGAGUUAAGGGGUGAUAUGAUAGCCAUGUUCAAAUAUAUAAAAGGAUGUCACAUAGAGGAGGGAGAAAGGUUGUUUUCUGCUGCUCCAGAGAAGCGGACACGGAGCAAUGGAUCACGGAGCAAUGGAGCAACUACAAGAAAGAAGAUUCCACCUAAACAUUCCUGACAGUAAGAGCUGUUCAACAGUGGAAUUUGCUGCCAAGGAGUGUGGUGGAGUCUCCUUCUUUGGAGGUCUUUAAGCAGAGGCUUGACAACCAUAUGUCAGGAGUGCUCUGGUGGUGUUUCCUGCUUGGCAGGGGGUUGGACUCGAUGGCCCUUGUGGUCUCUUCCAACUCUAUGAUUCUAUAGGACCCGAUUUUUUUAAAAAAAGCUCCCCCUCUCUUCUUUCUCCCUCCUAGAAAUAAGGCCAUGAAGCAAAAUGUGCAAGUACUCUUCUAGCAUUUAUGCUGGUGUGGCUUCUUGGAGGAAGCUUGCCUCUGAAGUUUGGCUCAGAGAUAGCUUGGUUGUAAAGCCUGACUUCUUAGUGCUCUGGUACUGAGAAAUUUGUGGCACUGGAGCUCAAAAGGCAGAGAGAGGACAGUUUGGUUAUUGUCCUUGGGAAGCCCAAAGAUGUCCUAAAACAGCCCACGUUUCUCCUGGUUCAUGUUGGGAAACUAGCAGAAGUGGCAGUACCAACUGGCAGGGUCGGUUUCUAUUGUCUUUAUUCAACAUCCUGUUAUGACCCAAGAGGUUGAUACUCAGGGUUUGGCUGCAACACCUCUAGAAGGUUUUGGCAGGGGUUGGAUUAUUGAUCCUCCCUCUUGCCUGCCCUUUCCCCCUUCUUUAGACCCAGCAUAGGAAUCUCUGGGGUCCUGAGGAGCUGCUAUUUUCCCCCUCCCUUUAGUGAAUUUUCCUGCCUGUCUUAUUUUAUAGUUAAGUUUGUCCUUCCUUCCCCCCUAGCAACCAGGAUGCAUCUUUCAUGGGGUGAUUCAUCUGACACUGGGCAGUCCCUAAAAGUUACCGUACUUUUCCGUAUAUAAGACGAGGUUUUUUUCUGUUAAAAUAAUGUAAAAAAAUUGGGGUCGUCUUAUACAUGGGUAGUUCAGAGUGGGGUCGGGUGAUUGGUUGCUGCCGCGAGUAGGAGAUUGUCAGCGGCGAUUGUUCGGGUGACUGGUGGCUGUGGCAAGGGCUGCUGUCGAUUGGCUGUUGUUGUGGCAAUUGGACGGGCGAUUGGCGGCUGCUGGCGGUGAGCAGGCAGAUGAUUGUUGGCUUCUGUGAUGUGUGUUAUUGGCAGCGUUGUGGGCAGGUGGGUGAGUGAUUUCCCCCCCCCCAAAAAAAAAGCUCAACUCUGGGCAAUCCCCACCCCCAUUUUCUUAAUUUUGAGUCCCCAAAAUAGGCGGCGGCUUAUACACGGGAAAGUAUGGCAUUUUCUGCAAACACUACUGCACAAAAAAUAUGGUUGACAGUGGGGCCAACUUGAAUAAAAUAUUGGGCGCUGGCAGAUAAGCUGUGCCCAGCAUAAUUGAUCACGGGACACGGCAUGGGCACACCAUUUGAAUGGCAAUGCCUCUCAGCUUUGUCAGGGGGGUAAAGGUAAAGGUACCCCUGACUAUAAGGUCCAGUCAUGGCCGACUCUGGGGUUGCGGCGCUCAUCUCGCUUUAUUGGCCAGGGGAGCCUGCGUACAGCUUCCGGGUCAUGUGGCCAGCAUGACUAAGCCGCUUCUGGCAAACCAGAGCAGCAUAUGGAAACGUUGUUGGGGGGAGGUCCCCUCAAAUAUUAUUAUGGGGGUGGGGGGGCUGAAGGGACCUCAGUCCCUAGGAGUUGGCUCCUAUGAUGGGUGCCAAAAACAAUGCCCCUCCCACAAAAGGCAAAUGUAAAAACUUUGCAAAGAGGUUUAGCAUGUCUCCUCCUGAUCAAGCACUCAGUAAAGCAUUUACUGUACAAUUAUCUUUCAGUACAAUGGUAUACAUUUCUACUUAGGAGUAAGUCUCUUUGUGUUUAAUAGGGCAGCCUAAGCUUUUGGUUUAGGGUUGGCAUUUCAGGGAAAUGGGGAUCUUGUGCCUUUAACAGCUAUACAGCAUGCAGAAACUCAACAGUUUGUCUUUUCUAGAAUGAAAAAGCUGUUAUGGGGAAACCUCCACCAUGACGGUAUGAUUUUAUGUUGUGCCACACCCCCAUGGCAGCCAUUUUGUGACUUGAACCCAGAAUAUCUCUCCUGUUGGUUGUUGCUGUUUCUGACUAGCUGUUGAUUUGGUUUAAUUUUAUGUUCUAGCAAUGCAUUUGCAAUUACAUGGCUUACUUGCAGUAGGAACGUAGGAAGCUACCUUGUACUGAGUCAGACCAUUGGUCCAUCCAUUGUCCUCAUGGACGGGUGUUGGCUUUCCAGGGUUUGAGGCAAAGGACAGUCCCAUCCUGACCAAGAGAUGGCAAGGAACGAACCUGACAUGCUUGACCACUGAGCUGUUGCACUGCAUGUAACUCAGCCUGGAACUCCCUGGUGAAGGGCAGGCUAUAAAUGUCUAUUAAUCAGAUAAGAAGUGAGCUCCAGCCUUCUUCACUUGCUCUACUGUAUGUUAACCUUUUAGGAGUAUUUAUGAAUAUUCUGACUUGGAAUCUACUCCAGUUCUCUGGCAGAUCUGUACUGGUAAUAUUUAGUCUAUGAUGAAUGAGGAGGAAGGAAUGGCUAGGGUGAAGAUACUAAUAUACUCUUUUCAGAUACUUCAAGUACUGUAUAGUACUCUACAACAUAUUGGCCUUACAUGUCUUUUCCAGUUACUCAUAAGCUCAGGUUGAGCCACCAGCAGAUCCUUUGGGAUCUGAUAUUUUUCUCUCCGGUUUAAUUUCAUUUGGCAAAGCUGGGGGAUUGCAGCACUUCACAGAUUACACUUGCUCCCAGCAGGAAGUAGAGAUUUAUUGCUGCCUAACUGUUGCCCAAGAAGAGAAUGGCUGGGGUUUGCCAUGCUGAAGAGGUUCGUAAAAUGUGGUUCAUUAAGUAUUUGGCAGCCUUGACAUGAUGGAUGUCUCACUUCCAUGGCAAAACUAUAAUGAGCAGAAACAACAAAAAACGCAAGAGCAUAAAUCACUCCAAGUUGGUGGCCGCCAGAAUUGCUGUAAUACAUGUAUCUGCUGAAAAAAUAGUAACGGGAAUCCGAUACCAAAUAUUUUAUUAAAAUACAACAGGACCAGUCUGAAAUAACUGGCCAAUAUUUAAGUAUUAAGGGACUAUUUGGAAAUAGUCAUAGAAUUGUAAAGUUAGAAGGAACUAGAGGGUCACCUAGUUCAUAAUUUGCUGAGAUCUUGUUGUGCUUGCCUGCCUUCUUCCUCUGUGUAUGUGAGAGUGUGGGUUGGCCAAGGUAGGGCCAAAAAAGUUAGUCAUCCCCCCCCCCCCCGCAAUGUAAAUGCUUAAUAUGAUAAGUGUGUAGAGAUGUCACCAUGGGUUCGCAACACAAUAUUUUUUUCCCUUAUUACAUUCCAGUGUGUGUGUGUGCUUGCUUGCUUGCUAUUAAUUAUAUGCCACUUUUCGGGAGUGAGGGGUGCCCAAAGCAGCCUACGGAAAAUAUUCCGUUAUUAUCAAAAUAGAAAGCAUUGGGUUUCACACCCUACCCACUUCUCCCUGAAAUGACCCAUCUAGUCUCCACUCCAGUUAAAAUGAAACUAAAUACUGAACACCUCUUACAUCAACCCCUUGGUUCCAUUUCUAUAACUUAUGUCAUUGUACUGGAAGAAGCAAAGAUCACCAGUGUUGAAGCAAUGAUUCUUCAACAUCAACUGCAUUGGACUGGCCAUGUUGUGCGGAUGCCUGGUGAUCGUCUUCCAAAGCAACUACUCUAUUCUGAACUUUAAAAUGGAAAGCAUAAUGCUGGUGGUCAACAAAAGAGGUUUAAAGACUGUCUCAAGGCAAAUCUGAAAAAAUGUAGUAUAAACACUGACAACUGGGAAACACUGGCCUGCGAGCGCUCCAGUUGGAGAACAGCCUUUACCAAAGGUGUCAUGGACUUUGAAGACGCUCAAACUCAGGUCGCAAGGGAGAAACGUGCUAGGAGGAAGGCACGCUUGGCAAACCCUCACCAUGAUCAACUCCAGCCUGGAAACCAAAGUCCCCACUGUGGAAGGACGUGUGGAUCCAGAACUGGCCUCCACAGUCACUUACAGACUCAUUGUUAAAACCGUGGUUAUGGAAGACAAUCUUACUUGGCUAAGAGUGAUCGCUGAAGAAGACAACGACCAGGGGGCUACCCUUCACUCUCCUUGGAACCUGGAGUCAAUGCCUGCCUUCCAGGCAUCUGCCUGGCCAUCCUUUCCCAGAUGCUGUUUCACUGUGGCAGAUUUUGGAUGCAUGAUCUGUUCCUCCCAAUCCCAGAUGCACUGUCAACCAGAACCUAAGUUUGUGUGAGCCUAACAAAUACAGUGGUACCUCGGGUUAAGUACUUAAUUCGUUUCGGAGGUCCGUUCUUAACCUGAAACUGUUCUUAACCAGAAGCACCACUUUAGCUAAUGGAGCCUCCCGCUGCGCGAUUUCUGUUCUCAUCCUGAAGCAAAGUUCUUAACCCAAGGUACUAUUUCCGGGUUAGCGGAGUCUGUAACCUGAAGCGUAUGUAACCUGAAGUGUCUGUAACCCGAGGUACCACUGUAUUCAUAUUUUGACUGGCUUCUAACAGUGGAGGUUGUCUUAUCACAUCAGAAAAGUGGAACUAGCCCAAGGGCUAUAUGCUUCCAUACUGAUGGCUGCCACUCCAAAGCCACAUUCUAUAAUUAAUAAUAAUAUUUAAUUAAAAUUGUAUACCGCGCUAUACCCGCAGGUCUCAAUGUUUGAUCACCUUAAUCGAAGGUACUAUAUAAACAACUUCUGCUAAAUAAGGAGAAUCUAUGCUUUUGUGUAUGCUGACAUCAGUGAUCAGGUCAGAAGCAGGUUUGUGGUUUCCACAAUACAGAUCGGGAUAAUUCUUCCCAUAUUUGGCUUAAUUACCCACAAUGCUUUCCAUUCAAAAGCGAAGAAAACUCUGUAAACAGUGUCAUUCAGGACUCAAUCAUUAUUGUGAACCCAGGAAAUAUUGCUAUUUGCAAAAGCAGCAUUCAGAUACUGCCUUUUUGUCUGUGGACUCAAUAACAGUCUCAAAUCCACUGCCUAUUGGGGCAAAUAUGGAGGUUCUGCAUUCAGAGCAGAAAAUUACACAUACUCACAAUAUCCCUACUAUCAGAAGCCAGCUCUCCCAUGAAAUCGCUGCCAACAUCUCAAACUAUAAUAAAGCUGUUUUACUGCAUUUGCUGAUACUCAGUUUCUGCAGUCUUUGGCAUCCACUCCUUCCCUUUUAUUAUUAUUUUUUGUAGCGUUGGAAGGGAUUCCAAGGGUCAUCUAGUCCAACCCUCUGCAAUGCAGGAAUCUCAGCUAAAGCAUCACUAACAGAUGGCCAUCCAACCUCUACAUGAAAACCUCCAAGGAAGGAGAGUCCAUCAAUUCCUGAGGUGCCAUUCCACUUGUUAAGUUGUGGGUGAACAUAUCAGACGACACAGCGAUUCUUCAAACAGCUCUUGUUUAUUCAAAGGCCAGAACAGAACUGAACUGAAGAGCUCAGUCAGCCUGCUUAUAUAGAGCUCCAGAACAACGUAACUGUAGCAACUUUCUAAAACUAUCCAAUCACUGAACGUCACUUUCGAUCCUUCAUUUGCAUACAAACUAUCCAAUCACUGAACGUCACUUUCGAUCCUUCAUUUGCAUAACUAUCUACAGUGUCCUCCUGCUGGCCCAGGGUGAGAACUUCAGUACAUAACACCACUGUCAAACAGAACUUACCAUCAGAAAACUCUUCCCGAUGGUUUAGUUGGAAUCUCCUUUGAGCCACUGGUUCCGGUCCUACCCUCCAGAGCAGGAGAAAACAAGUGUGCUGGUUUCAGAUGGAAAUUGUGGUUGAAUGUCCAUCUGAAAUGGCCAGACAGGGAGUAUGGCCAUUUUCUAAUCACUAGUGAAACUGGCCAUGGAACAACCUCUCCUGUUUUAUGCCUUCCCCAAUUGUUCUGGGAUGCUCAGAAGCAUGAGAAUCAGCUCUAAGUUGUUAGGACUUGUUAGGCUACAUGAAUUUCCCAGCAGGAAAAGCAAGUCUACCGUUGGGCAGAUUUUCAACUGUAUCAUAAGACACAUACAAAACGGAAGGCUAAAAUAACUCAUUGAGUGCAGAUGUGUCUCAUGUUGUGGAGCCAGAGACUUUACAGGAUGUUUGCUUCAAUAAACACACACUUUUAGAGUCAAAAAUCUACAUUGGCACCAAGAGGAAUUGGAAGAGCAGUUCCAAACUGGCAUGGGAAGGCAAAGCUAAGGAUAUAUUCUAAAAUAUCCUUUUCUUUUCGUUUUUUGCAUGCCAUAGUUUUCAUGCUGCAGAGUAAAAAAAACCACUGCUUAAACGAAAACUAUUAAGAUGAACUGGGUGGAGAGUAAGGGAACUUUGGCUGCCAGGGCGGAGGAAAAAUGAUGUUAAUUGGAAAUUGGAAUGGAGCAGCAACGUUUUGUGCUUAGUGAGUUAGUUCACACUUUGAUUGAAGUCCAGAGCCAGGGAAGAUAUGCUGAAAGCCAAAUGCUGCAGUGGAAGACACAAACAAGAAGAUCAGCUGUGUUCUUCAUGGCUUUAUUAUUUCUGCAAAAAGCCAGAAAGAGGAUUGGACAAGGAAACCUUUCAAACAGAUCUGUGCACUGGAUUCGUUUGACACCCGAACUGAAUCGAGCUGAUUCAAUGGGAUCUGGGAUAACGCAUAAGGGGAACACAGUGAGCAGGAUUGUAUCCUCCAUUCAGUGGAGGGUUUAAUCCUGCUGUCUGCAGGAUGCUGCCUUGCAAGCAUGUUUGCCAGUGGGAAUGAUCCAAUGAAGCAGCAACCAGCAGGAUUGAACCCUCCCGCUCUCUGCAUACAGUCAGAGGGGAAAGACACGUCCUAAUGAAACAUUAUCCAUGUCCCCAUGUUGAUUCAGGGCCAGAUCUUGGGUGAGGUGCUCCCUGGGUUGGCUUGAGGUGGCCCUGAUUCAAUGCUCCGGGACAGGAGCCCAGGUCAGGUCAAGGGUAACAGUAUGCUUUUAAAUAUUACUACUUUUAAAUAUUAAAACAAUCAUUUAUGUAUAAAAAUCUAAAAGAUUUUGAUAGCGACUCACAAAACACACAAGAAGUACAAAGGAAGCUUUGAAAUAUAAUGUUUGUUGUAAUAACUAUGUACUAAUCAUUACAUCAGUUAAACUUGUUGAUUUGGUUUCUUGAUUUUAGUAGAGCUAAAACAAAUUGGCUCCUUCAUAUUAUCUCAAAACAAUUGCCUCUGCAAAUGCUCCAGAUAUGUCUCAAAUACUCAGUUAAACAUUUGACACUUGUGGAUUACAAAUGUUUCAUAUAUGCACUUUAAAUCCUCUGUUUGAUUUCAUAAUUUGAUAGUGUUUGAUGGCAGACAUGAAAUUGUACCUUUUAUUUGAUGACAUGCAAUAAGCAUCUGCCUGCUAAUAACUUUUUGUAUUUACAUUUUACAUAGCUGCCAACACAAUUGAGAGAAAGUCAAGACUUGAAUUUUGCAUACACUUACCCAUCCAAAAUGCAAAGAAAUAUAUACACCCAGCUUCUAUAAAGAUUAUAGGUGCCCUUUAAACUCAAAGCCUUCAUUUCACAAGCUGUUUCCAUAGAAUGAAAUUAAAUUACAGCAUGUGGGAAGAAAACUGAAGAUACAUAAAUUCUGCAAUUGCAGUAUAACCUAAGUCGCAGGAUUUUUUCAUAGGAAGACUUUAAGACAAGGUGCUGAAAUUGUGGCCACCUAGUGGCUAAUUUGGUGGUAUUAGUUUUCUCUUUUGCUUUGGUUUUUUUAAGGAAACUUUGGAGUACCAUGAAAAUGAGGGGGGGAAACGGUUACAGUGGUGCCCCGCAAGACGAAUGCCUCGCAAGACGGAAAAACCGCUAGACGAAAGGGUUUUCCGUUUUGAAGUUGCUUCGCAGGACGAAUUCCCCUAUGGGCUUGCUUCGCAAGACGAAAAUACCUUGCGAGUCCUGAGAUUUUUUUCGCUUUCCCCCCCCUUUAUCUAAUCUGCUAAGCCUUUAAUAGCCUUUAAUAGCCUUUUAGCAGCUAAUCCCCUAAGCCUUUAAGCCUUUAAUAGCCGCUAAACAGCUGAUAGUGCUAAUAGCGCUAAUCCGUCAAUGGGCUUGCUUCGCAAGACGAAAAAACCGCUAGACGAAGACUCUUGCGGAACGGAUUAAUUUCGUCUUGCGAGGCACCACUGUAGUCAGAAAUAUUGAAUUAUUAAAACAAAUGGAUAGAGAGGCUGACGACAACAUUUGGCCUGUAGACAGAAGGUUCACUACCCUGAUCAAAAGAGAAUAUGCAGAGAAAAUAAAAUAUUUCCUAAAGAUGUAAACAGCAACGGAAACUCUGCCGACAGGAAACUUAUUAGAAGAGUCCAGUUGACUUUUUGGACUCAAGUUUAAGAAAGAAAGGAACAGAAGGCAAAGUCUGCUAGGAUGCAGUCCUAUAUGCACUUAUUCGAAAGUAAUUCCCAUUAAAUUUAAGAUGACUGACUUCUGUGUAAACUUGCCAGGGAUUCUGCUAUAUAAUUGUGGCAAACCUACUGCCGUUUACCUGGGAGCAAGCACCAUUGAACUCAGUGAAGCUUUCUCUUAGAUUUGAUGCACAAGAUUGCACUGUGAAUUAACCAAUUUAAUUUCUGCCGCAAGAAGCACAUCUGCUUUGUCCUAGCAUAAAUCCAAGAGAAAGGAGAAGGCUACUUUUAAGACGGUGCUUGACAUCUACAAUAAUUGGGGGCACUUUUGUAGUUGAAUUUCAAAAUUGGUUAAUCUGUUUAAUUAACUAACUUUGCAGCCCUAAUCAAUAUACAACACAGUUUGAGUAGUGUGAGUUGAAGAGGAAAGAUUACAUUCCAGUGAUAUGUCUUCGGGUUGUCUUACGAACGAAAAGAAUUAUCAUAGCUGAAAAUUGCUCUAUUGAAAUAAGUGCUUCGGUCUAACUGAUUAGUAUGUUUCAUGUCGGGGCAGAUUCUUCCCACCAGGUAUAUCAUUUGAUUUUCUUUUCCCCACCUCCUUCGGUAGAUAUUCAGAUGUGCUUACUGAGCAGAUUCCUUAUUCUGCACCUAUGGCUCAGUUUCUGCUUGUUGUGGAGUAAGACUGGCACACAGUGGCCGAAAAUCCCACGCCUGCCCUUUUCCAACAAAAAUGCAGUCACACAGGAAAAUUGUGUGUGCGUGUGAUUGACUGACGUUUAUAAGUCAUUUUGUACAAAGGAAUAAAGGUAAAGGGACCCCUGACCAUUAGGUCCAGUCGUGGCCGACUCUGGGGUUGCGGCGCUCAUCUCGCUUUAUUGGUCGAGGGAGCUGGCGUUCAGCUUCUGGGUCAUGUGGCCAGCAGGACUAAGCCGCUUCUGGCGAACCAGAGCAGUGCACGGAAACGCCGUUUACCUUCCCGCCGGAGCGGUACCUAUUUAUCUACUUGCACUUUGACGUGCUUUCGAACCGCUAGGCUGGUAGCAGCAGGGACCGAGAAACAGGAGCUCACCCCUUCGCGGGGAUUCGAAACGCCAACCUUCUGAUCGGCAAGUCCCAGGCUCUGUGGUUUAACCCACAGUGCCACCCGCAUCCCUGUACAAAGGAAUAUAAGGCAGGAAUUAGGCCAACCUCUCAGAUCUUGUGCUCUCCAGGUAUUUUGGACCACAGCAUAGUUGGGGAAGGCUGAGCUACGUGCUAUGGCUAACCAGUGGCUGCAAAUCAGAGUCUCACAUCUCUGCCUUCUCCCAUUUUCCCCAUACUGUUUCAUAAGGAAAACAAACCAGCUGCUGUGUUGCAAGUUUCCCCACCCCUUUCUGCACUGGUUGCCCCCACUGAGGACAGGGAACACAGAGCAUCAUGGGAGUAUACAAAGAUGGGUAUCUGUGGUGUGCAGUGCCGGAUUUACGUAUAAGCUAAACAAGCUGUAGCUUAGGGCCCCGCUCUCUUGGGCCCCCCAAAAAAUUGAAAGGGAAAAAGACCUGGAUGUACAUUUCCAAAAUAUAAGAUAAAAAAUAAAAUAAAACCUACAUACAGCAACAGUGUUUUGUGUUGUGUAGGCUCCUAGGAUGUAAGUAAUGGGCCCCACCUGCUAGCCUGCUCCCUAAAAUAUCACUGGUUUGCUCAUUUCUAUAUAUACAGUUGUAUUUCACUAUUAAUGUACUUCUUCUUAAUUGUAUUUCAGUUCAACAAUUACUUUGAUAAAUACACACAGUGGUACCUCGGGUUACAUAUGCUUCAGGUUACAGACUCCGCUAACCCAGAAAUAGUACCUCAGGUUAAGAACUUUGCUUCAGGAUGAGAACAGAAAUCGCGCGGUGGCUGCUUAGCAAAGGCGGGAGGUCAUAUUAGCUAAAGUGGUACCUCAGGUUAAGAACAGUUUCAGGUUAAGAACGGACCUCCAGAAUGAAUUAAGUUCUUAAUCCGAGGUACCACUGUAUUUUGUUAUGUGCAAAUGGUUUUAGAUACCUAUUAGGUCCAUAAAUUACCAUAUAGCAUAUAUUCAACACAAAAAGCAGCAACAAUUUGUUGUUGGCAAAGGACAGCUGGACAUAUAAAGGGCCCCGUUACCUUCAGGAGUUUAGGGCCUCAUCAAACCUAAAUCCGGCCCUGGUGGUGUGGCUGGAAUACUUGCGCCAGGGCCCGUGCCUGGUGGCAGGGAGCGUCAGUUGUGACCCUAGAAGGGCUUUUGAACACAGGCGGAGGGACAAAAUGACAGCAAAGGUGUAAGCAAGGACAUGCAGUAAGGAAAGGCGAGGGUGGCAGCAGCAAGGGGGCAGUGGGCUGGUGGGGGUAAGCCCCCAAUUUGCCCUCCCAAAAUGUUGGGGGGGUAUACAGUAACACAGUGUAGAGUGGGAUGGCAAUGUUCAUUUGGAUGUGUAUCUGAAUGUACAUGCCACUGGAAGUGAUGAAAUGAAGAUGGACCGUGGCUACAGAUUUAUUUAUUUUUUGUCUGAUUAUGUAUACUGAUAAAAAAAAGUCAUUCUGACAUUUCACUCUCCAUAUUUGUGCUGCGAACAGAAUGCAAAGCAUGCUGGUCAGCUGUGAAAAGCACAUUGCAGAGUUCUCCAAAUUCUUUUUAAAAAUGCAUUUUAUGCUCAAUUUACAUUUUCAUUAUCGAUAGUCUUUUUCAGUAAUCCCUCCCGCUAGGAAGAAGAUGGCCAGUGUUCUGUAGUUGCUUUACCUGUGCUUCUGGCUCAGAAAACAAAAAAGAUGGAUUUAUUCUGCUCCAGUGAGAACAUGAUUUUCUAAAAUAGCAGCACAAUACUCUGGCAACAUGACUAUGCCCUAUUCCAUGGAAAGUGUAACUUCUUUUCUCUUUCUACUUUAAUUUUGACUUCAGCUUAUUUUACACAAUUAGACAAGGUAUGUGCAAAUAGGACUAGCAAAUUUUGAGUUCAUGGGAGGUUGCUGGGCUAAGGAGUGAAGGAAGGAUAGGCUGGGGAAGAUCCUGGCAAAGUCUUUCUCCAGAUGGCUUUUCAGCAAUGAGGUUACCCGCCAGAAUGUGGUUUUACUGGUCAGAGCAAUAAAAUUAUGACCAUCUGUUGACUGAAACUCAGAUAAAAGUAAGACUUCAGGGAUCUUACUCCUCAUGCGUAAAUGAGAGGGCAACUGUUGGAGAAAGAGCUUUGGGACAGAGAUCUCUUACUCUCUUGUAUCAGAGUUAGCGCAAUGGUGACUGUUCACAUUAAAACUUGGUUAGAUUUACAUCCACCUUCAUACAAAUGUUCCCCAUGAAAAUACAGUGGUACCUUGGUUCCUGAAUGGCUUUGUUGUCGAACAAAUCGGCUUCUGAAUGCCACAAACCCAGAAGUAAGUGUUCCAGUUUGUGAACGUUUUUUGGAAGCCGUGGCUUCCACUUGAGUGAAGGAAGCUCCUGCAGCCAAUCAGAAGCUGUGCCUUGGUUUUCAAACAGUUUCAGGAGUCAAACAGACUCCCGGAACGGAUUAAGUUCGAGAACCAAGGUACCACUGUACAUUGGCUAGAAUAAAUCACAUACACUUCAGCUGUCCAAAUAAAUGAAGCUUUUUAUGCACAGAGUUUUCAGAAAUCACAGCAAAUAAGUCUCCGUCUGCUGGCAGUAAAACAAAGAUGAAAGAAGUUUCCAGAUGUCUUUAAAAAAAAAAAGAACUCGGGUUCCUUACAAAAAGGAUCGUGCAAUCUUUGAGUUAGCAAAGAUGCAGGCUAUAAAAUCUCAUUUUAGAGAGAUGCAGCUCACUUGUAGGAAACCACGGUCGCAUGGAAGUGGCUUAAGUUUGCUGGUGGUGUAUGGGUCAUAGGGCCUUGGGUUUCAUCUUUGUUCUAAGGAACUUUGUGGUUCCUUGAAAUCUUGGGAGGGUUUUUCUCUAUGAGAACUUCCGGAGCAGGAGCCGUGUUAGCCUUCAAGGUGCCACAAGACCUAGUUGUGUUUUACUGCAACAGACUAACUAAUUUAUGAUGACAUAGGUUUCUAGGUCUAGCAGUCUGCUAAAGAUUUUUUGCUCUUUAAGGUUCCUCAGUGGGUUCAGGAACUGUGUACAAUCUUUCUUGAAGGACAGAUCUUUCCUUGUCAUGUGCAGUCUCUGUGUGUACAUUGUGUAUGGCUUCAAUGUACAGUGGUGCCUCGCAAGACGAAAAUAAUCCGUUCCGCGAGUCUCUUCGUCUAGCGGUUUUUUCGUCUUGCGAAGCAACCCUAUUAGCGGAUUAGCGCUAUUAGCGGUUUAGCGGUUUAGCGGCUAUUAAAGGCUUAGCGGCUUAGCGGCUUAGAAAAAGGGGGGGGGAGCGAAAAAAAUCGCAAGACUCACAAGACGCUUUCGUCUUGCGAAGCAAGCCCAUAGGGAAAUUCGUCUUGCGAAGCGCAUCGAAAAACGGAAAACCCUUUCAUCUAGCGGGUUUUUCGUCUUGCGAGGCAUUCGUCUUGCGGGGCACCACUGUAUGACCAAAGGCCUUUGGGACCUCUCACUGCAUAUGUUUUACAUACAUAAACUUUUAAAUACAUUCUACUCAUGUAAAAACACCAGGCAGGCCACAAAAAUAACCCAGAGAUUCGUUUUAAAUAAAAGCACACAUUCUACUCAUGUAAAAACACGCUGAUUCCCGCACCAUCCGCGGGCCGGAUUUAGAAGGUGAUUGGGCCCACGGGCCUUAGGUUGCCUACCCCUGGAUUACAGCAUGGGAUUACUAAGUGGGGAUGGGUCUUAAUGUCAUGCAACUCCUGUACUCGUAGCUCCUAGCCUCUCUCUGAGCCCAGUCCAAACCACCUAUUUUAACCUUUAAAAUGCUUCACAGGACCAUGGCCUCUGAGAGGCAGCAGUAGUAGUUAAACUGUAAAUGCUAAAUAAUAGCCCCACUUAUCAAACACUGAAGGAUGUGGUUUCAGACCCUCUUAAGUGUCCCUGUUUUCCAGGGACAGUCCUGAAUUUACAGAAGCCAUCCCGGUUUCCGAUUUGAUCCGUGGCGUCCUGCUUUUCCUUAAAGGGUAAAGGGACCCCUGACCAUUAGGUCCAGUUGUGGCCGACUCUGGGGUUGCGGCGCUCAUCUCGCUUUAUUGGCCAAGGGAGCCGGCGUACAGCUUCCAGGUCAUGUGGCCAGCAUAACUCUGACGAACCAGAGCAGCGCACGGAAACACUGUUUACCUUCCCGCUGGAGCGGUACCUAUUUAUCUACUUGCACUUUGAGGUGCUUUCGAACUGCUAGGUUGGCAGGAGCAGGAACUGAGCAAUGGGAGCUCACCCCGUCACGGGGAUUCGAACCGCCGACCUUCUGAUCGGCAAGUCCUAGGCUCUGUGGUUUAACCCACAGUGCCACCCGUGUCCCAUGCUUUUCCUUAGGACAUUCCUAUUUUCAUCGGAGCAACGUUGGAUGGUUUGUUGUUUCGCAAGGAAGCAUAGGAGCCAACUCCUAGGGGCCGAGGUCUCUUCACAAACACCCCAAUAAAAUAUUUGAGGGUGACAGUUUCUCCCCCCCCCCCAGUUGAUGAGUGUUGCCAUUCAAAUGGUGUGCAUGCACUGCAUCUUGUGUUCCAUUAUGUGAGGCAGGGCUUACCCCUUAUUUUAUUCAAGUUGGCACCCCUGCAAGAAAGCAUCAUUUACGACUGUGGCUCCUCAGCCAAAACUGCAAUGCCUGACUCCCAGUCAUGUCUGUGAUGAUGAUGAUCACAUAAUAAUUGGUGGUUUAAAAAAAAUAAGGAAAUGGAAGUUAAACAGAUUUAAAGCCAAGGCUGCAUGGAAUAGCAAUUACUAACUCUUGAAAAGACUUUUGCCAAUUGAUUGCAAUCUUUACUGAAACCACUAGAUGGUAGUCAAGUAUAGUGGCUAAAAAACAAAACAGCAUGAUGCGAUACAUAAUUUUUUUGUUCCAUCCUACAAACUCAAAUCUACCUUCCGAGACAUUAGAGGAUGCAGUUAAAGUGUAGUAUCACUUCACCGUUACAACAAUAAUUAAAUACUGGACUUAUAUUCUCUUCCCACAGAUCAAAGUUCUACAUUAGGGCUUCAGAAGUGGUACUUGGGCUCUGUGUUUUAAACAGGGGAGUUUGGAAUCAGUAUUUGGGGAAAUUGUAUGGAUGGCUUUGGUAUAUUUGAACUUGUAAAUGUAGCUGGUUUGCUAAGUGUUGAGAUUGUGUGUGCAAAUGCACUCAAGCCUCUACUUGCACAUUUUGGUAAAAGGUUUUCUAGCCUUCUGCACUGACCUUGUUAAGAGCAGCAAACACAGCAACAGAAUUUCCUCUACCGUUUCCUAGCUGCCGCUUCACAGAUCCCAGAAUUAACUUACAUAACAUGCAGGUUGUGGUGAUUGCUACUGAUUUACACAUCCUUAUGAGCUUGGCCAAUAUAUGUAGGACAUAAGAUGAUCUAUCUGCUGCUACUGGCCAUAGCACCUCAAUGGAGCCUCCAAGUUCAGGGACAGUGGACCUCUAAAUAUUGGCUGCUUUAGGAAAACAGCAGAGGAGGGCUGUUCAUGCCCUCUUUCUGGACUUGUCAGAAGUAUCUAGCUGACCACUGGUGGAAAAAGGAUGCUGGCUUCUGAUUGUCCCUUGGCCUGAACUCCUUUUUGUGUUCUUAGAUAUGAAGAAUCACACACACACACACACACACACACACACACACACACAUGCUGGACUGAGAGCAUGCAGCCCUGGUUAGACAUUCUGGACAGGGCGAAUGAGCAGCAUGGAGACUGGAGGGUUGGAGUUCGUUCCCCUGGUUCUUUCAUCUGGAAACAGGUGUUUGGUGCUACUCAGAAUAUCUAUAUCUGUGGUGAGAACCGGGUCUGCCCCACCUCUUGCAGAGCAAGUUUGACAGGUUGGCAGAGCCGGCCACCUGAGUUUCAGGAGUGUGUGCAGGAGCCAGGCCCUGUGACAAGUAGGACUUUGCAGGAUUGGGGCCUUCCUAAGUUUGUUCUGGAGAGGCAAGGUGCGGCCGCACAGGUGAGGCUGCUUGGUAACUCACUGCACCUGGUGGCAAGAGCCGGGAAGGGAUAUAAGGUCAGCAUUUCCCAUCGGCUCUUUGCCACAGCAACUCGUUUCCUGCCUUGCUGCAUUUGGCUUCUUGCUUCCCGAUCUUUGGACCUCAGCUUCUUGACUCCUUGCUUCUCAACCCUCAGAUCCUUGACUUCGUGACUCCCUGCUUCCUGGCUUCUGGACUCUCGUUCCUGCUCCCAUCCCGCCAUCUUGCCCCCGGUCCCGACGUCCUCAGCCAGGACUUUGAUCGCCCGUGACACAGAGGGAGUCCGUUCCACUGCCGAACAGCUCUUACUGGCAGAAAGUUCUUCCUGGUGUUUAGUUGGAAUCUCCUUUCUUGUCACUUGAAUCCAUUGGUUCAGGUCCUAGCCUCCAGAGCAGGUGAAAACAAGCUUCCUUCAUCUUCCACCCUUUAGAGAUUUGAAGGUGGGCUAUUGUAUGGCCUCAGUGUGUCGUUUCCAGGCCAAACAUACCCAACAGCCUGAUCCCUUUCUCAUCAGGUUUCAAGACCCUUGAUCAUCUUGGUUUCCCUGGACUCUGGUGUCAGUUGUAAUAAGAUGGUGAUGAUGAUGAUGAUGAUGAUAAUUUAUUACUUAUACCCUGCCCAUCUGGCGAGGCCUCCCCAGCCACUCUGGGCAGCUUCCAACAGGAUAUUAAGAACACAAUAAAAGAUCAAACAUUAAAAAGUUCCCUAAACAGGGCUGCUUUCAGGUGUCUUCUAAAAGUCAGAUAGUUAUUUCCUUGACAUCUGAUGGGAGAGCGUUCCACAGGGCGGGCACCGCUGCCGAGAAGGCCCUGUGCCUGGUUCCCUGUAACUUUGCUCCUCACAGUGAGGGAACUGCUAGAAGGCCUUCGGCGCUGACCUCAGUGUCUGGGCUGAACAAUGGGGAUGGAGACGCUCGUUCAGGUAUACUGGGCUGAGGCUGUUAGGGCUUUAGAGGUAAGCACCAACAUGGGGGGGGGGGGGCCUUGAAGAUAACCCAGAGGCUCCAGCCAGUGUAGAUUGUAGCUGUUCGGCUGGUACGUUGAGAAGCCUGAUGGGACCAGGGUGCCACUGGCUGUGAAUGUGCUGCACUGGCUACCAGUGAGCUACCAAUUCAUGGUGUUGGUGCAAGCAUACAAAGUACUAAAAUGGCUUGUGCGACCCUGUACUUAAAUGUGCUAGCAGUUUUAUUCCUGCACCUUGAGGAUUAGCAAUUUUUCUAAAUUACAAAAUGCCACUUGAGAAGGAACCUAUUUGGUUAAAUAUUGGGCUGGCAGAAGCAUCCAAGGUUGUCAGGCAAUAAUGCUGAUGUUUUCCGCAGUAUUUGUCUACCUGAAAAGAAAGUUCAAGCUGCCUGCUACGUGCAGUUGAAUGGGUAAAUGAUUGUGCAUUGUGCCCUGGAUGGAAAACAGGACACAGGUAAAUAAAGAAACCAGAGAGGAGCAAACCUGAUGCACAGGGAAGUGUGUUGUUCUACUGUUGAAUUGGUUUAUUCAGUGCCUGCAGCGGACAGGAAAACACUGGCUGACAACUCAAGUUUGUCUACUUUUAACGCUGCUCUAUUCUGCUUUAAGUAGCCAGCUUCAUUUCAAUAUAUCCUGUUGUCAUAAAAGUUGACAAAUCCAGCCUUCAGAAGACAGGGGGCUUAACAGUGUAACUUUAUUAUGAGGUGUCUCAAUUUAUAGAAAGUGUUGGUACUGCUAUUGGCUUCCCCACUUGCCCCCUCACCCCAGUGGACUGAUCUCUCUUAGAGCUUUGGGAUGGGCUCUACCUCAGCGAUGGCAGCCAAAACAAAGGAGACCACCUUCAGUUGAGGAAAGAGAUGAGAAAAUAAGUUAACUGUGUCAUUCAAAUAGUGGGCUGAAAGCGAGGUAAUUUUCUCAGCCAGAUUUUUAAAAAGUUAUUGUUGCUAACAAGCAUAUAGAAAAGGAAUUGAUUGCUCAUGCCUCAUUAUUUUAUUUUAUCGUGUUCAUGGUAUGUGUACAAGUGACUUACAUUAGUGACAAUUGGGGAUUCUUUCUCGCACUCACCACACCGGGAACUAAACCUGAACCUUAUAUGGUACUCUAAAGCUGGGGUACAAAAUUGUAUAGACCAGCUAUUAAGAAUCAUAAAUCAGUAUAUUCUCUAAAAGGUAGAACAUUUGUAAUAGACAAUAUUGAAAACUGUGACCUAAUUUCAAGCUGUUUCAGUCUGAAUGUUAAUGUAUCAUUAGCUGCUGCAAAAAUAGAUUUAGUUCACAUAUCUAGGUAGGAAAAAGUAAGGCCUGAAGGGGGAAAAGGUUUGUGGGUGAGACAGAAGCUUCAAAUCUUUUCUUGGAUGGGCAAGAGCGUAUGAACAGGCCUGUUGUCUCUGGCAGGUGUCUUCAUGGCCAGGCGAAGCUCUUCUGCCUGCCUUGAAAGGUGCUAUGAGAGGUCUCAUCUCCUGCUAUUUUUUGAGGAGAGGGGGAAAAGCAGGAAACUUGGUGGGUAGCAGCUGAAGCUCAAAUAAACCAGGAGGUUUAUCUCCUUUUCUGAGUCCUGCACAAGCCAUUUUUAGAUUGUGCUUCUUUCUGUUCUUCAGGGUUUCAGGGAAAGCAAAGAACUGAUAGUUUUAAAUGCACUUUAAUUAAAUGGAUCUUGUCCUCAAUGACGAGACCAAGAGAAGUAUUUCAAAAUAACAUUGCAACCUUUCGAGUUCUCAGACUUUGGGACAUUUGAAGUGGCAGCUAUGAGAUACACUUUACUAAGUGGCAGGGCCCUGGUGAACAGUUAACUUCUGCUAGCCUAGAGGGUAGAUGUUGAACUGAGUCUUCUGGCAAAGCCCCUCAAAAUAGAGGUACCAAAGAAGAUCAAAGUGGCAUACAUUCCUUAAAAUGGACACACUUUCUGUGACUAUUUUGGCUUGUGUGCAGAAAGCUGUCACUUCAUUAGCACUGAACUAGUUUAUAGACAUUUUGGCUUUAAAAUCUAUUUAAUGUAAUUAAAACCUCCAAUCACACAGCCGUGGUAUUUUGUUAUUUUACAGCUCAGAGCCAAGUGCAAUAGCAAUGAAAUGGAGUCUGCAGCAAACACCAAAAUAGUACCGAGUACUCAUUUAGAGAGAAGAGAAUGAACUUUUAACCAACGGUAUGAUGUUGGAGAAGGUUGCUCCAAGAGCUCGUUGAGAAACCAAUAAAAAAUAGCUUAAACCAUCUGCAUUAAUUAGGGGGGAAACCAAACAGCUGAUCAAACACCACCAGUUUCACAGGAUGGCAGUAUAAACAGCUUGCUGUGGCUGGUGUUUGUAGCCAGUAUUAACUCCAGCACAAGCCAUCCCUGUACUCAAUUCAUAAUGAUGUAAUGUACUUACUACUUUGUAUAGUUCUAUUGUAAGUCGCCUUCCCUUUGUGCAAAAUUCAAUUGGGAUUUUUUAGUUUAGUAGGAGGCAGACAAUUCCAGAACUCCAGUUUUUGUUAUAUAAUUGGCCUUCAUUAUAUCAAAAUCUAUUCGUUUUCAGUCUUUCAGAGCUUAUGCAGAUGGAUCGCUACUGAAAACCAAGCUAUCCCCUUUUGUCCUAUAGGUUGAACAGUUCCGGAUCAAUAAAACAAAACGGUAGAACCUGUUCCCUCUCUUAAGAAGUUAGGAUCCUAAUUAUUUAUUUGGUUAUUAAAAUUGUAUACCACUGUUCAUUAAUAAUCAAAGCAGUAAAAACAGAGUUUAAAACUGAUCAUCAGGCUGCGUUGGCUGAAACUGAUCCCACAACACUGGAGUCAAUGUUGCAUUGGACAACUCAUCUGGUGCUGCCGUGGCAGCAGCAUCUCAAUCACUGCAGAUGUUGUGAGAAUGUGUUCUCUACUGUCCGUUGUGGAAGAGAAUGGGUAACACUAGAGAGAAAAGCAAAAUGCAUUUGGGGCCAUGUGUGCUGGGUCACUUAUCCUUUACGGAGGAGUUGCAGCACGUGCCCUUAAUGGGUGAAUCCAUCCAACACCAAAUGAUUAAUUGGCAAAGUGGUCUUUCAUCAAAUAAAUGCCCUACUUCUGCACAAAACAUAAUAAGCACUGACUUCCUACUGCUGAAUUGAAGGCCUUGCUAUCA